rnacentral:rRNA from 1 species
AACGAACGCUGGCGGCAUGCCUAACACAUGCAAGUCGAACGAGACCUUCGGGUCUAGUGGCGCACGGGUGCGUAACGCGUGGGAAUCUGCCCUUGGGUUCGGAAUAACAGUUGGAAACGACUGCUAAUACCGGAUGAUGACGUAAGUCCAAAGAUUUAUCGCCCAGGGAUGAGCCCGCGUAGGAUUAGCUAGUUGGUGGGGUAAAGGCCUACCAAGGCGACGAUCCUUAGCUGGUCUGAGAGGAUGAUCAGCCACACUGGGACUGAGACACGGCCCAGACUCUUACGGGAGGGAGCAGUGGGGAAUAUUGCACAAUGGGCGAAAGCCUGAUCCAGCAAUGCCGCGUGAGUGAUGAAGUCCUUAGGGUUGUAAAGCUCUUUUACCCGGGAUGAUAAUGACAGUACCGGGAGAAUAAGCCCCGGCUAACUCCGUG